GUUGAAAGAGAGGUCAGCAGGCCAACUAUUAAGAUACUUUAUGGAUAAGAAUCAUGAACUUCAAUGAUAUUUUAGAUUUUAGUCAAAAUGAUUUGUGUGUUAAAGUGCUUUACUAAGUGUUUUGCAUGCAUAUAUACAUCGUAUAUACAUAUUUGCCAAUGAGAACUUGACUGGACCAGUGUUUGCCAGUCUCUCUGGGUUUAUACGAGAGAUUCUUAUUCUCCUUCACGGUAUGCACUUCCUCAUUUUAAAUUAGUGUUGUGAGAAAAUGUAUGACCUGCUAAGAAACAAAUUCAAAAAUUUGUUGUAUUCGGCUACAAGGAAUCAUAUAUGAAAAUGUAGGUUGGUGUUUAACUAUUAUACAUGUU
rnacentral:lncRNA from 1 species